rnacentral:misc_RNA from 1 species
AACGCACAUUGCGCCCUUUGGCAUUCCGAAGGGCAUGCCCGUUCGAGCGUCAUUACACCAAUCAAGCCUGGCUUGGUAUUGGGCGUCGGGAGACCCCGCGCCCUCAAUUCAUCGGCUGGACGGUUCGACUCUCAGCGUUGUGGUCAUUCAAUUCGCUGGCGAGGACGACUGGACGCGCCGUUAAACCUCUAUCACAGGUUGACCUCGGAUCGGGUAGGGAUACCCGCUGAACUUAAG